UACGUAGGGGGCAAGCGUUGUCCGGAAUCAUUGGGCGUAAAGCGCGUGUAGGCGGCUUGAUAAGUCCGGUGUGAAACCUUGGGGCUCAACCCCAAGCCUGCAUCGGAUACUGUCUCGCUUGAGUUCGGGAGGGGAGAGCGGAAUUCCUAGUGUAGCGGUGAAAUGCGCAGAUAUUAGGAAGAACACCAAUGGCGAAGGCAGCUCUCUGGAACGAUACUGACGCUGAGACGCGAAAGCGUGGGGAGCGAACAGG
rnacentral:rRNA from 1 species